GAUGAACGCUGGCGGCGUGCCUAAUACAUGCAAGUCGAGCGAACGGACGAGAAGCUUGCUUCUCUGAUGUUAGCGGCGGACGGGUGAGUAACACGUGGAUAACCUACCUAUAAGACUGGGAUAACUUCGGGAAACCGGAGCUAAUACCGGAUAAUAUUUUGAACCGCAUGGUUCAAAAGUAAAAGACGGUCCUGCUGUCACUUAUAGAUGGAUCCGCGCUGCAUUAGCUAGUUGGUAAGGUAACGGCUUACCAAGGCAACGAUGCAUAGCCGACCUGAGAGGGUGAUCGGCCACACUGGAACUGAGACACGGUCCAGACUCCUACGGGAGGCAGCAGUAGGGAAUCUUCCGCAAAGGGCGAAAGCCUGACGGAGCAACGCCGCGUGAGUGAUGAAGGUCUUCGGAUCGUAAAACUCUGUUAUUAGGGAAGAACAUAUGUGUAAGUAACUGUGCACAUCUUGACGGUACCUAAUCAGAAAGCCACGGCUAACUACGUG
rnacentral:rRNA from 1 species